rnacentral:lncRNA from 1 species
GGAGCCCCGCGUAGUUCCGGAGGCGACUGCGACGCAUGGCGGCGAGCGGUGUGGAGAAGACGCGCGGGUGGCGGGGCCUUGCACUGCGGCGGCCCUCCGGCACCCUUGUGCUGCCCCCCUUCCUCCAGGCCCUAGGACCUCAUGCCGGGGAGGCAGCGUGGGCCCCAGGCCCCGGUACUCUGCGCCUCCCGCAGACGCCGGCUUCCCGGCCCGGUUUCCAGCGCCGGGAAUCCUUCCACUGUCUGUCUCUGCCCAGGGCAACCCCUGCGCAGUAACGCGGACCCCAUAGCGCACCCGUUAGGCGAUGAAGGCGCAAAAGAAGAGGAAGAAAACCCGGAACAGGGCCUCGGUGGCAAAUGGAGGCGAGAAGGCCUCAGAGAAGCCCGCCCCAGAGGAAGUUCCCGUACAAGCAGUUGGCCCAGGGAUUGGCUUGGUGCGUGGAGCGACUGCAGCUGGGUCUCCAGAGGCAGAAACUCACCCCGACACGAGUAAGAGACGUGGAUUGUGUGAUGCCCCAUUAUUUUAUGUUAUCAGUAAGAUAAUUUUUAAAAUGCUACAAAUGAUUUUGAGUCCAGCUCGAGCAACAUAGUGGGACACCUGUCUCUUAACAACAACAGCCAAAACAAACAAACAAGCAAUAGCAAAACCCUCAAGUUUCGGAUAUACUCCUGAUUAAGAAACCCAGAAUAGACGGAGUCUCACUCCGUUGCCAGCCUGGAGUGCGUUGGUGUGAUCUCGGCUCACUGCAUCCUCCACGUCCCAGGUUCGAGCGAUUCUCCUGCCUCAACCUCCCACGUAGCUGGGACUACAGAUUCCACUUCUGCAAGACUCUACAGAAGUCUCCAACCUUCAAAUCUUCAGUCUCCGAAAGCACCGAUUCCUGAAAGGAUGGCCUCAAAUGACCAAGUAUACGAGCCGUCUAUAUCCCUGCUCCUGAAAAACAAGCUAACUGGACUCUCCAUCACCUUCCCCCAGCACAGACGCACUACCAGCUACGCAGCUGAACUCCAUGACUGACUUGCCAUCCAAUCAUGCCCCUGACCCAGCCUACAUGAACAAGGGAAGGAACAUCAGCGAAUUAGGAAAAGAGGCAGAGGUGAGGAGACCACCUGUCCUGGGCCACAGAGCUAUGUAGAGUUCAUCAAUCUCCAGCCCCUUAGUAUUCCAGGGGCUCUAAACCACCUUCUGUAAGUCAGGAUGGAAGUAGAUGGUGCCACGAAGAUUUCUCUCUGCUGUAGCCACUCCUUCAGUGUCUCAAAAUGUUUUAACAUCUUUCAGUAAAAAUCUGUCAGUCCUUGAUAAAUUAAAAAAAAAAAAGGCAGCAAAGUUUUUAGAGCUCCCUUGAACCUUCUAUUUUAAGGCGCCUUUGUAGAUAAUUCCCAACAUUCUGUGUGUCGGUCAUCUUUGGAAUUUAUCGAUCGAUCAUUGUUUCUCUUCAAACUUGGCCUUGCCCUGCCCAUUCCAUUCUUACCCGCUUUCAUUGGCUUCACUAGUCAAUUCCACACUCAUUCUAGACACUGGGUGCACGAGACUCACUCCCGUUUGUAUUACCAAAACUCAGGCCAAUAGGAUAUAAAAAGUAGGAAGAAUACUGGGAUUUAACAUGAGUACAAAUCUCAUUUCUUCCAAUUCCUAUGUCUUCUUGAAUCCUAAUCUUUCUGAGACUCAAGUUUUCUAUCUAAACGAUCCCUUGACCAGAAUGUUCAACAGACGUGACAAUACUAGAACGUGUUUUAAUUCAUUCUAAGAUUCCUUAAAAUUCUGUAAUUCUAUGUGCUGCUGAUUCUGGGAAUACAUAGCCAGCAGAAUUUGAAAAACGAAUAGAAUUAAAGAAAUAACAAAGACAAAAAAAAAAAAAAA